UUUUCCUGAUCAGCCAAAAAACAUUAUCAACAACCAACUAUAGCAAUAAUGCUAUACAAUCCACUAAGCAACAACCGACUAAAUAACAACAGCAAACAUCGGUCAACAGUCAACCAAAUAGAAACAGCAUCAAUGGCGUACAAGAAGCCGCACCAACGUUUACAACGUUCAAUAUAAACACAACAACACCCAGUAACAUCAACAUUUAUAACGACAACACCGUCAAAUCCAAACAAGUCAACAAUGUUCAAAGUAGUCGUUUUCAUUUUUUUGACCCUUUUACCCCUCCAAACAGCCAAGAAGGGAGAAAAGUUUAUUGGCCUUUUUCCCCUUCUCAGACCAUGCUCGCCCAUUUUUGGUAAAAAGCCAACGGUUACCCGUUUCUCUACCUAUGGACAUCAAAUUUCCUAAGAAAAUCAAUUCAAAAUCCCAUUUUCAAUCCAAAACUCUAGAUUCUCCCCCCCUAAUUUUCUCUAUAAAUAGAUAGUGAGAGGAAUUUUUGGGAAAAAUUGGAGGUUCUGGAGGCGUAUGCUUCUAACCUCACGUAACCAAAUUCCAACGGAAGAUUAAAUUCUGGAAAUUUUAUGGUAAUCUCGAUAAAUUGGAAUCGAAUUUUGACAGUGGUGAAGUCCGUUCAAUUGAAAAGCUCUUUGUUCCGGUUCUUACCCCCAAAAAGUUGGAGUCCAAACGGACUUUUCUCUUCCAUACUCCAACGGGCCAAGGAGGACUAAUAUCGAGUCGAGCCCCAUUCAAAUCCGCAAAUUGAUUAACAUAUCAUAAACGAGGCUGGUAUAACACUAGUAUACACCUGAUAUAUGUGGUUUACUGGUUAAAGGUGGUUGGUUUAAGUCAAGAGAUGGCGUAUGGUAAAGCUGGGAGCAAGUAUACAGGGUUUUUUACGCAGAUAUACAACGUAUAUACAAAAAAUACAGGGGAAAUAACUCAGAUAUACAGUUAAUAUACACUUCAGAAAAAUGGACCAAAGUCCAUAAUUCAAAGCCCAAAAUUGGGCAGCUUUACUAAUGGGCCAAUUAAGGGCCGAAUUUCAGUUCUUGUAUUAUUUUUGUAGCUUAUAAUUCAUCUUUGUUUGUGUACUAACAUUCUAAUCAAUUAAUCUAGAUAAAUUUC